GAACGUAGAAGAUCUAAUCGUUAUAAUAUAUUAGUAUUUAUUAAAAAUAAUGUUACAUACAUUAUAUUUGUUAAUGUCGAUUAGGGGUGAAAUGCUUCCAAUUCUUACAUAUCUGGAUUUAUAUUAAAUAUAUUAAGUAUAGGGUUAGUUUCUCAAAUUUGAAAUGUUAAGAUUUCAAAUAGCAAUUAAAAUUUUAUAUAAAUAAAAUAUAUAAGUGCUAAUCCUCUUAUAGAUAAAAAUAUUAUAAUUAAUAUAUAAUUAUUUAAUAGGCGUAAUAUAAUGAUUUUUAUAAUAUAAUAAAAGAUUAAUAAUGUUUAGAUUAGUAAUUUUUAAUAAUUUAUUUAAAGGAACUCGGCAAAUUACUUUUUCGUCUGUUUAACAAAAACAUAGCUUAACGAGAUAUUAUGUUAAGUGAUUUCUGCCCAGUGAAAUAUUUUAACGGCCGCAGUACCUUGACUGUGCUAAGGUAGCAUAAUAAAUUGGCUUUUAAUUGGAGUCUAGAAUCAACGGAAUGUCGGAAAAUAACUGUCUCAUUUUAAUUAAUUUAAAGUUAAUAAUAAGGUGAAAAUACCUUAAAUAAAUUAUAUAGACAAGAAGACCCUAAGAAUUUUUAUAAUAUAAGUUAAUAAUAGCUUAAUAAUUUUUGUUGGGGCGACAGGGUUACAUAUAACUAAUCUUGUAAAUAAUAUACUAGUCAGUUUUUAAAUAGUUAGAUAAAAUUACCUUAGGGAUAACAGCAUAAUAUAGUUUUGUUUGUGACCUCGAUGUUGGAUUAGGAAAAUUAAUAGCUAACAGUUAUUAAAUUUAGUUCUGUUCGAACUGUUUUACCUACAUGAUCUGAGUUCAGACCGGCGUAAGCCAGGUCAG
rnacentral:rRNA from 1 species